rnacentral:rRNA from 1 species
ACACCGGCGGCCCGAGUGGUGAUCGUGAUUAUUGGGUCUAAAGGGUCCGUAGCCGGUUUGGUCAGUCCUCCGGGAAAUCUGAUGGCUCAACCAUUAGGCUUUCGGGGGAUACUGCCAGGCUUGGAACCGGGAGAGGUAAGAGGUACUACAGGGGUAGGAGUGAAAUCUUGUAAUCCCUGUGAGACCACCUGUGGCGAAGGCGUCUUACCAGAACGGGUUCGACGGUGAGGGACGAAAGCUGGGGGCACGAACCGGAUUAGAUACCCGGGUAGUCCCAGCCGUAAACGAUGCUCGCUAGGUGUCAGGCAUGGCGCGACCGGGUCUGGUGCCGCAGGGAAGCCGUGAAGCGAGCCACCUGGGAAGUACGGCCGCAAGGCUGAA